UGACCUGCGGAAGGAUCAUUACCGAGUGCGGGCCCUCUGGGUCCAACCUCCCAUCCGUGUCUAUCUGUACCCUGUUGCUUCGGCGUGGCCACGGCCCGCCGAAGACUAACAUUUGAACACUGUCUGAAGUUUGCAGUCUGAGUUUUUAGUUAAACAAUAAUUAAAACUUUCAACAACGGAUCUCUUGGUUCCGGCAUCGAUGAAGAACGCAGCGAAAUGCGAUAAUUAAUGUGAAUUGCAGAAUUCAGUGAAUCAUCGAGUCUUUGAACGCACAUUGCGCCCCCUGGUAUUCCGGGGGGCAUGCCUGUCCGAGCGUCAUUGCUGCCCUCAAGCACGGCUUGUGUGUUGGGCUUCCGUCCCUGGUAACGGGGACGGGCCCAAAAGGCAGUGGCGGCACCAUGUCUGGUCCUCGAGCGUAUGGGGCUUUGUCACCCGCUCCCGUAGGUCCAGCUGGCAGCUAGCCUCGCAACCAAUCUUUUUAACCAGGUUGACCUCGGAUCAGGUAGGGAUACCCGCUGAACUUAAGCAUAUCAAUAA
rnacentral:rRNA from 1 species